GUGUUUAGAUACCCACUGGCUUGUUUCCAUAUUUCCUCCUCUGCUUUCUCAGGAGAGCUCCAGGCUCUGUCAGAAUUUCAACAAAAGUUCCAAGGCAAUGCACACAUUUGUAACCCAGUCUUACGAUCUGGCUUAAGCUAAUUAACUUCGGGCCUCUCCCCUGUCUCCUCUCCUCUCACAUUUCUUUCUUCUCCCUCAUUUCUUUCUUCAUAGGAAGAAAUUGCCAGAGAGGCCGCAGUUCCCAGAUGCACUCAGAAGCCCCACAGCAUAACAAAGAAUAUUGGCCCCCAAACAUGUACAGAGGUGGGAGAACUUGCCUUCUAGAGCACACCCAGAGGGAUGACUGCCUCACAGGUCCCAGAGCUAAGUAUGACAGUUGUGCCAGCUUCGUCUCCGGCUCAUCCCCAGCCCACAAUCUCAUCAUUGGAGGAGAGGAGUGACUUCUGGUCUGACCAGCAAUGAGGAGAUUCUUUAGGACUGACUAGGUGCCUAGAUAAUACGCCCCUGACUGGCGAGGACAGCCACAGGGCCUACAUCCAGGCAAUCCAUCUGUCCUGUGCCAGACUAUAGAGUCAUCACCUGGGCCCAAUACACUUAUUUAGUGCUAUUCCCCUUUCCUAGCCAACAUCUGUAAGACAGCCUUCAGAGAGUCUGCUACACAGAGGCCUGCCCUUCACUUUAAGCCUGAACUUCAGUUGUUUUAAAGUGAUUGGGUCUUUUGGCUACUAAUAACAAUAUUAUAAUAAGAA